GUGUACACAUUUAUGACUUUGCUACAGGGUAGCAAAGCUGUGGGAUGCAAGUGGGUAUGAAGAAAGUACUGCCCAAUAAUGAGGUACAAUAUAAAGCAAGGUUAGUGGCACAAGGGUUUUCAAAGAUGAAAAAUGUGCACUAUGAUGAGGUAUUCGUGCCAGCUGUAAAGAGUGAAAGCAUCAGGCUGGCACUAACGUAGGCAGUGGCACAUGGCCAUAAAAUUUGGCAUUUUGAC